GAUGAACGCUGGCGGCGUGCCUAAUACAUGCAAGUCGAGCGAACGGACGAGAAGCUUGCUUCUCUGAUGUUAGCGGCGGACGGGUGAGUAAAACGUGGAUAACCUACCUAUAAGACUGGGAUAACUUCGGGAAACCGGAGCUAAUACCGGAUAAUAUUUUGAACCGCAUGGUUCAAAAGUGAAAGACGGUCUUGCUGUCACUUAUAGAUGGAUCCGCGCUGCAUUAGCUAGUUGGUAAGGUAACGGCUUACCAAGGCAACGAUGCAUAGCCGACCUGAGAGGGUGAUCGCCCACACUGGAACUGAGACACGGUCCAGACUCCUACGGGAGGCAGCAGUAGGGAAUCUUCCGCAAUGGGCGAAAGCCUGACGGAGCAACGCCGCGUGAGUGAUGAAGGUCUUCGGAUCGUAAAACUCUGUUAUUAGGGAAGAACAUAUGUGUAAGUAACUGUGCACAUCUUGACGGUACCUAAUCAGAAAGCCACGGCUAACUACGUG
rnacentral:rRNA from 1 species